AGUUUGAUCCUGGCUCAGAACAAACGCUGGCGGCGUGCCUAACACAUGCAAGUCGUACGAGAAAGUCGGCUUCGGCCGAUGAGUACAGUGGCGCACGGGUGAGUAACGCGUGGGUAAUCUACCCCUCGGUCAGGAAUAACCCGCCGAAAGGCGGGCUAAUACCCGAUAACACUGACGCUCUGCGGAGUGUCUUUCAAAGAAGGCCUCUGUUUACAAGCUUUCGCCGGAGGAUGAGCCCGCGUACCAUUAGCUAGUUGGCAGGGUAAUGGCCUACCAAGGCAACGAUGGUUAGCUGGUCUGAGAGGAUGGCCAGCCACACUGGAACUGAGACACGGUCCAGACUCCUACGGGAGGCAGCAGUGAGGAAUCUUGCGCAAUGGGGGAAACCCUGACGCAGCAACGCCGCGUGAGUGAGGAAGGCCUUCGGGUCGUAAAGCUCUGUCAGAUGGGAAGAAAUGGGUGGGGGCUAAUAUCGUCCACCCUUGACGGUACCAUCAGAGGAAGCACCGGCUAACUCCGUGCCAGCAGCCGCGGUAAUACGGGGG
rnacentral:rRNA from 1 species